AUUGAACGCUGGCGGCAGGCUUAACACAUGCAAGUCGAGCGGAGCGAGGGUGCUUGCACCUUAGCUUAGCGGCGGACGGGUGAGUAAUGCUUAGGAAUCUGCCUAUUAGUGGGGGACAACAUUCCGAAAGGAAUGCUAAUACCGCAUACGCCCUACGGGGGAAAGCAGGGGAUCUUCGGACCUUGCGCUAAUAGAUGAGCCUAAGUCGGAUUAGCUAGUUGGUGGGGUAAAGGCCUACCAAGGCGACGAUCUGUAGCGGGUCUGAGAGGAUGAUCCGCCACACUGGGACUGAGACACGGCCCAGACUCCUACGGGAGGCAGCAGUGGGGAAUAUUGGACAAUGGGGGGAACCCUGAUCCAGCCAUGCCGCGUGUGUGAAGAAGGCCUUAUGGUUGUAAAGCACUUUAAGCGAGGAGGAGGCUACUGAGACUAAUACUCUUGGAUAGUGGACGUUACUCGCAGAAUAAGCACCGGCUAACUCUGUGCCAGCCGCCGCCGUAAAAC
rnacentral:rRNA from 1 species